CCUACGGGUGGCAGCAGUGAGGAAUAUUGGUCAAUGGGCGCAAGCCUGAACCAGCCAAGCCGCGUGAGGGAAGACGGUCCUAUGGAUUGUAAACUUCUUUUGUCGGGGAGCAAAAGACGCCACGAGAGGCGUUCCGAGAGUACUUGAAGAAAAAGCAUCGGCUAACUCCGUGCCAGCAGCCGCGGUAAUACGGAGGAUGCGAGCGUUAUCCGGAUUUAUUGGGGUUAAAGGGUGCGAAGGCGGAAGGUCAAGUCAGCGGUAAAAUCGAGAGGCUCAACCUCUGCGAGCCGUUGAAACUGGCUGUCUUGAGUGGUGGAGAGGGAUGCGGAAUGCGUAGUGUAGCGGUGAAAUGCGUAGAUAUUACGCAGAACUCCGAUUGCGAAGGCAGCAUACCGGCGCUGAACUGACGCUGAGGCACGAAAGCGUGGGUAUCGAACAGGAUUAGAUACCCGGGUAGUC
rnacentral:rRNA from 1 species